GACGAACGCUGGCGGCGUGCUUAACACAUGCAAGUCGAACGGAAAGGCCCUGCUUUUGUGGGGUGCUCGAGUGGCGAACGGGUGAGUAACACGUGAGUAACCUGCCCUUGACUUUGGUAUAACUUCAGGAAACUGGGGCUAAUACCGGAUAGGAGCUCCUGCUGCAUGGUGGGGGUUGGAAAGUUUCGGCGGUUGGGGAUGGACUCGCGGCUUAUCAGCUUGUUGGUGGGGUAGUGGCUUACCAAGGCUUUGACGGGUAGCCGGCCUGAGAGGGUGACCGGCGACAUUGGGACUGAGAUACGGACCAGACUCCUACGGGAGGCAGCAGUGGGGAAUAUUGCACAAUGGGCGGAAGCCUGAUGCAGCAACGCCGCGUGCGGGAUGACGGCCUUCGGGUUGUAAACAGCUUUAGCCUGUGACGAAGCGUGAGUGACGGUAAUGGGUAAAGAAGCACCGGCUAACUACGUG
rnacentral:rRNA from 1 species